GGGGGGGGGGGGGGGGGGGGGGGGGGGGGGGGGGGGGGGGGGGGGGGGCGUGGGGGGGGGGGGGGGUGGGGGGGCGGACGGGGGGGGAACGCGUGGGUGACCUGCCCGUGCCUUUGGGAUAGCUUCAGGAAACGGGGGCCAGUACCGGCUAGGAGCCCCUGCUGACUGGUGGGGGUGUGAAGGUUUCGGCGGUUGGGGAUGGACCCGCGGCUUAUCAGCUUGGUGGGGGGGUAGUGGCUUACCAAGGCUUUGACGGGUAGCCGGCCUGUGCGGGUGACCGGCCACAUUGGGACAGAGAUACGCCCCAGCCUCCUGCGGAAGGCAGCAGUGGGGAAUAUUGCAAAAUGGGCGGAAGCCUGAUGCAGCAACGCCGCGUGCGGGAUGACGGCCUUCGGGUUGUAAUCCGCUUUCGCCUGUGACGAAGCGUGAGUGACGGUAAUGGGUAAAGAGACACCGGCUAACUACGUG
rnacentral:rRNA from 1 species